AGUGAACGCUGGCGGUAGGCCUAAUACAUGCCAGUCGAACGGCAGCACAGUAAGAGCUUGCUCUUACGGGUGGCGAGUGGCGGACGGGUGAGGAAUACAUCGGAAUCUACUUUUUCGUGGGGGAUAACGUAGGGAAACUUACGCUAAUACCGCAUACGACCUACGGGUGAAAGCAGGGGAUCUUCGGACCUUGCGCGAGUGAAUGCGCCGAUGUCGGAUUAGCUAGUUGGCGGGGUAAAGGCCCACCAAGGCGACGAUCCGUAGCUGGUCUGGGAGGAUGAUCAGACACACUGGAACUGAGACACGGUCCAGACUCCGACGGGAGGCAGCAGUGGGGAAUAUAGGACAAUGGGCGCAAGCCUGAUCCAGCCAUACCGCGUGGAUGAAGAAGGCCUUCGGGUUGGAAAGCCCUUUUGUUGGGAAAGAAAAGCAGCAGGUUAAUACCCCGCUGUUCUGACGGUACCCAAAGAAUAAGCACCGGCUAACUUCGUG
rnacentral:rRNA from 1 species